CCUCCCCCUCCCCUCCACAGGCUGCAGGAUUUGGGCCCCAAGACAUGACACUCUUCGGAGCCCCUUGUACGCCCCUCGCUGGGCUUCUGAGCGUUCGUUCCCAGUAGGCGCUUCCCUGGGUUCUCCGUGGUCCACGCUCAGCAGGAGCCUGUAAAUCAGUCGUACGUGACCGACGCGGCUGGCAUCGCAUUUCUGUGAAGCAGCAGGUGCAGACCCUCUGCCCUCUCCCCUGGCUCCCGCCCGAGGCCCGGUGGCCGAGCAGCUGGUGGCCUCGUGCAGCGCCCCGGCCAGAAUGGGCUACGCGGUCGCCGCAGGAACUCUGUCCUCUAGACGGGGCGCUUCCAGAGCGGAUUUUCUAGACCUUGCUUCAAACUCCUGCGUCCUCGUGGGACUCCCUGGUUGUCUGCGAACCGCCUAGAAAUCCCAGGAUCUCCCCCAAGCAACCCCGGGAAGCUCCCCCCCACCCCGGAAGACCCAAGGACUGGUCCUAAAUCUCGCCAGCCUGGGAUAGGGUCCUGCAGGCACCUUGCUACAGCCUUGGCCUUGGCCCUGGAGUGCGAGCAGCCGGGAGGUUGGCAGGGGCUCCCUGGCCCGCGGGCCGCCCGGCUUCGGCGCCUUGUACCCUGGGGGUCACACGUGAGACCAGCGUCCCCAGGCGGGCAGUCGUCCUGUCUCCGUGGCGAAGUCACAGAAGACCCCGCUGCCAGUUGGCCAGAGUUUCCAGGUAGCAUGAACGUCUGGCCCUCCUGUGAUUUAGUGCGACGUGUCCUGGAUUCCAGUUUGCCCUGAGUCUACACGCCGGAAGUCAGAGAAACAGGCGGCAAAGGGACCCCCUGCUGUGCCGGGGGACA
rnacentral:lncRNA from 12 species